CUUUCUUUGCUCUCAGGCAUUUGUAAAGCCCGAAUGAGAUGGCCUAUGUACACAUGAGCUGCACACCUCUUCCAUGACCUUCUAGCAGUGGAAACUUUAGAAACCUUUCCAGUUGAACCAUUUUGGAAUGAAACGGGUCGGGUACCAAGCCAAGCAGGUAUUUUGGCAGCACAGGACUGGGAUAAAGGACCAUGACAAGCACUACUUGACACUGUUGAAGACAAUCCUGGCCACAACACUGGACCGUUGUUUUUGGAUGCGCCAAUAGCAUGUUGUUGAUCCAGUUGACUUCCAAUUGCUGUAGUCUGCACUAAUGCCAACUCUGUCUUCCUGUCAAGAAGGGAAAUUUCUAGUU
rnacentral:misc_RNA from 1 species